rnacentral:rRNA from 1 species
CGCGAAGAACCUUACCUGGUCUUGACAUCCACAGAACUUUCCAGAGAUGGAUUGGUGCCUUCGGGAACUGUGAGACAGGUGCUGCAUGGCUGUCGUCAGCUCGUGUUGUGAAAUGUUGGGUUAAGUCCCGCAACGAGCGCAACCCUUAUCCUUUGUUGCCAGCGAUUAGGUCGGGAACUCAAAGGAGACUGCCAGUGAUAAACUGGAGGAAGGUGGGGAUGACGUCAAGUCAUCAUGGCCCUUACGACCAGGGCUACACACGUGCUACAAUGGCGCAUACAAAGAGAAGCGACCUCGCGAGAGCAAGCGGACCUCUUAAAGUGCGUCGUAGUCCGGAUUGGAGUCUGCAACUCGACUCCAUGAAGUCGGAAUCGCUAGUAAUCGUGGAUCAGAAUGCCACGGUGAAUACGUUCCCGGGCCUUGU